GGAGGAUCCGAGCGUUAUCCGGAUUUAUUGGGUUUAAAGGGAGCGUAGAUGGAUGUUUAAGUCAGUUGUGAAAGUUUGCGGCUCAACCGUAAAAUUGCAGUUGAUACUGGAUGUCUUGAGUGCAGUUGAGGCAGGCGGAAUUCGUGGUGUGGCGGUGAAAUGCUUAGAUAUCACGAAGAACUCCGAUUGCGAAGGCAGCCUGCUAAGCUGCAACUGACAUUGAGGCUCGAAAGUGUGGGUAUCAAACAGGAUUAGAUACCCUGGUAGUCCACACGGUAAACGAUGAAUACUCGUUGUUUGCGAUAUACGGCAAGCGGCCAAGCGAAAGCGUUAAGUAUUCCACCUGGGGAGU
rnacentral:rRNA from 1 species